UCUUCCCUGUCCCCGGGGCCAGGUUUCGCCAGAAGCCAUAAAGAGGCCUGCGCAAGCCUCUUCCGUUUUCAGAGCCUCCCAGAGUCUCAGAGGGAGAUGCUGUCGUCCUGCUUGCCUGGAUGAGAAAAUUGGUUGAGCAAGUUUGAAUCUAUUGUCCAGUAUCACAUAAUUGGUAGUGACAGAGCUGGGACUCAACUGAAGGAGGGUUGAGGUCGUCUUAGGUGAGAGCUAUGAAGGCACCACAUUCUGCUCCCCGAUUCCAGAAAUACCAGCUGGGGACCCAGCCCUCCCAGCCAGCGCUGGGCCUUCCCUGCUGAAAUCUCCAUCAUUGCUAGAGCCAUCAAGAGGUGGCCAGCGCACAGCGGCCUGGGUCUGGACGUGAACACCCGUUUGCUGAAAGCAUCUAAGAGAUCCUGCUUCCGGGACAAUCCAGUGAGAUGGUUCACAAGUGACUCAGUGGCACAAUCGUUAUACUCACAGGGAAUUAGGACGCCCCUUUGCAGAUUAUUUACUGAAGCUUAAACAAAUUUUUAACUUAAUGACAUUGUCUGUGGUUAAAAAACAACAGGAUCUUAACUUGUGUCCGUGGGCAGAGAAGUUAAUGAACUCCUGCAAAAACAAGUCAUUUAGAA